GAUUCGAUUCAGUUUACCGAACCGACUCUUUACUAAUUCAAACUUUGAGUAGUUUGUAAUUUUUUCAAGCAGCGUUAAUCUAACACAGCGUCUAUUCUUUCUCUGUACUGGAAUUAUAUUAAUGAGAACUCCCUCCAGACUACUGGCAAAGAGCUAUACUUUGAGAAGCCAAAGUGGUGUAGAAGCAUUAACAUUCCUCUUACAAAUGAGUGCUCUUCAAAGCUUAUAGCUGUUCUUUAAGGACCCAACGUGGAGAAGAGGCAUCAGCAUUCCUCCUACAAAUGAGUGCUCUUCAAAUCUUACAGCUGUUCUUUGAGGAGCCAACGUGGUGAAGAAGCAUUAACAUUCCUCUUACAAAUGAGUGCUCUUCAAAGCUUACAGGUAA